UCCCCAGUGGCUCAGAGGUAAAGCAUCUGCCUGCAGUGCAGGAGACCCAGGAUCAAUCCCUGGGAUGGGAA
rnacentral:tRNA from 1 species